UUGACCUCGGAUCAGGUAGGAAUACCCGCUAAACUUAAGCAUAUCAAUAAGCGGAGGA
rnacentral:rRNA from 2 species